GGCUCCGACCCGGAUGCGUCGGAUCCGUCCCGCCGCCCGCCCUCGUCCUGCCCGCCCUUGCCCAUUCCGGUCACGACCUCAGAUUCAAACUUCAGAGGAGAGAGUCCUCCCACCUAGGAUUUCCGGCCGCCGCCGCCGCGGCAAGAUCGCAUGGAACCGAAACCCUAGAAGCGGAUGGGGGCGGCGGCGAGGAGACCUGAGGUGGGUGGAGGCGAUUGGUGCCGCAAUGCGGAAGCGAAAGGGAG
rnacentral:lncRNA from 1 species